UGGGGAAUUUUGGACAAUGGGCGAAAGCCUGAUCCAGCAAUGCCGCGUGUGUGAAGAAGGCCUUCGGGUUGUAAAGCACUUUUGUCCGGAAAGAAAUCCUUGGCUCUAAUACAGUCGGGGGAUGACGGUACCGGAAGAAUAAGCACCGGCUAACUACGUGCCAGCAGCCGCGGUAAUACGUAGGGUGCAAGCGUUAAUCGGAAUUACUGGGCGUAAAGCGUGCGCAGGCGGUUUGCUAAGACCGAUGUGAAAUCCCCGGGCUCAACCUGGGAACUGCAUUGGUGACUGGCAGGCUAGAGUAUGGCAGAGGGGGGUAGAAUUCCACGUGUGAGCAGUGAAAUGCGUAGAGAUGUGGAGGAAUACCGAUGGCGAAGGCAGCCCCCUGGGCCAAUACUGACGCUCAUGCACGAAAGCGU
rnacentral:rRNA from 1 species